UACGUAGGCAGCAAGCGUUGUUCGGAGUUACUGGGCGUAAAGGGUGUGUAGGCGGUUCACUAAGUUCGGUGUGAAAUCUCCCGGCUUAACUGGGAGGGUGCAUUGAAAACUGGUGGGCUUGAGUAUGGGAGAGGUAAGCGGAAUUCCUGGUGUAGCGGUGAAAUGCGCAGAUAUCAGGAGGAACACCGGUGGCGAAGGCGGAUCUCUGGGCCUUACCUGACGCUGAGGCGCGAAAGCUAGGGGAGCGAACAGG
rnacentral:rRNA from 1 species